AUGGGAAGAAGUUGUAUCAGAGGGACACCAUGAUUAUAGAAGAGGGAGAAACCACGAGUAUGAAAUUCAGUAAAUCAAACCACUAACACCCAAUUACAAUGAAAUUAAGACAUGUAUUCGGUAUAUACACAUUAAAAUUUCAAUAUAUAGAGAAAGUGGAAUACCUUGUGUACAUCAGCUGUUGGUUCUAUAACAAUUUAACGAUUUGGAGGGGAUUUUUGUCAUUAAUCGCCAUUUCUCGCUGUGCUUUGUUUUUGUUUCCACCUCAGAGAUUGAUUGAUUUGGGGGAGAUUUUGGGUCUAGUGAUAGGGGAGAGAAGAUUUUGGAAAUUUGGUGUAGAAAAAAAUUGAAAAGCCCUCCUAGCUGCUUGCUGAAUGCUGCUUG
rnacentral:lncRNA from 1 species